GAUGAAGAACGUAGCGAAAUGCGAUACGUAAUGUGAAUUGCAGAAUUCAGUGAAUCAUCGAAUCUUUGAACGCAUAUUGCGCUCUCUGGUAUUCCGGAGAGCAUGCUUGUUUGAGUAUCAGUAAACACCUCAACUUCGAUAUCUUUUUUGAAAUGGGAGUUGGACUUGAGUGAUCCCAACGCUUUUCCUCACCGAAAAGUGGCGGGUUACUUGAAAUGCAGGUGCAGCUGGACUUUUCUCUGAGCUAUAAGCAUAUCUAUUUAGUCUGCCUAAAAAACAGAUUAUUACCUUUGCUGCAGCUAACAUAAAGGAGAUUAGUUCUUGUGCUGACUGAUGCAGGAUUCACAAAGACAGGCUUCGGCCGACUUUGUAAACUCGAUCUCAAAUCAAGUAAGACUACCCGCUGAACUUAAGCAUAUCAAUAAGCGGAGGA
rnacentral:misc_RNA from 1 species